GUCAACUGGAAUAAGAAAAAACGUCUGUUUGGACAGGGAAGUGUGCACUGACCACGCCCAUCAUCACUACAACAAUGACGUCUGCCUGUCGCCAUCUAGUGGUCGAUAGUGACGCCUGCAUCGCCGCUGUUUGCGCAAUACAUGGAUGGCUUUGGAUUUGCUCCUGUUUUUCCUCACUGUCUGAUGGAAGCUGGGAACAGGGGCCUGGCUCACCCAUCCACUCUGACCAGAUGUCAGCCAUCAAGCCCAGACUCUUUGCCACAGGUGUGGGGGUUCCUGGAGCAAAGACUUUUCCUACUCCUUUUUGUCCAGGUCAAGGAUGAGUGAAAUUAUUUCCCAAGGCCUUUUCCAUCACUGUAGGAGGCCUUGUUAGCAGUUAUCUGACUGGUAUCAUUUUGUUACAUCUUUGGUUUACUUUCAACACACAGUGAGCUUAAGUUUGCUGAUCAGAGAGAUGUAGCUAAUUGGUAUCAGUAAUAAUCCAAAUCUUACAGUGUGGCAUUGUUUCUGGAAGGCAUGGAGCAAUAAAGGCUAACUUGUAUGCAUCUUAAUAAAUACAUAUAUGCAA